rnacentral:misc_RNA from 1 species
CGCUACACGAAACGCGCGCGUCUUUCACGCAUCCCCGCCCACGGACGCUCUGGCCUCGACCUUUCCUCUGCCGCUAGCCCUUCAUCCUCUCCUCCUUGCCAGGUUGUGCAGAGUUGAAAGGCGAGGCAACGAAAAAGUUACGCAAAGAGCGCUGCGAGUACAGCGGGGCGAAAAGCGUUUCCUUGCAUCCAUCCGGUGCGAUGCGCAGCACCCGCUCGCUGCCUAGAUACCCACACGCACACACACGCACAUGCCAUGUCACUCGCAGCUAUUGACGAUCAUCAGAAAGGCGAUGUCGUCCAUCUGCAGUAUCUCCUGCGCAAGCGGGAGUACCACUUGGCCGAGCUAAUCAACGAGGUCGUUUUUGCGGAGCAGGAGCGUUACAAGGCGGUGCAGGAGGCACACGGCCUGCGCGAGCUUGCCACUGGCCUCGAGGACGUCAUCAACAAGCUGCUGGAGUACCACAUAGCUCUUCACAGAGAGGUGCUUCUCCCAGUGUUGAAAGAUUCCGCCGGUAGCAGCGGCGACGCACGCAGCGUCGGGGCGUCCCCGGAAGAGAACUCCACAGCUGUAGGGUCUUCGAAAGACCUCCUCGAGGACCUUCUUGGCAAACCGCGUCUUCCCAGCGAAACGAAGAGGCUGCUUCAGACGGCUCUGCAACAGAAACAGAGAGGCGAGCGACUGUCGGGCGGUGGUAUAGGGCUGCACGGUAACUCUUCCCUUUGGCGGCCGCAUGCCGACGCAGAGGCGCCAGUGCAUCCAGCCACGCAUCGUGCCAUUGCUCUCAGUGCCUCUCUUCUGCAAAACCAAGAGAGACUGGCGCAACUGUUGCACAGCAUUCAGACCCAAGCAAAGAAUCUGCUCCAUCACUGGGAUGGCUUAGGCGGCACGGAGGCACUAGACGGAUGUCCGUCAAUCAGCGAGCCCACUGUGCGACAGCAGGGGCCAACAAGCAACGUCGCGCCUUUCCGACUGGAGAACCUACACCAGCACAGCAACCGUGCGCGGGCAAUCGAAGAGGCACUGCGAAGCGUUGAGAGGGAGCGGGAUACUUUACAAAUGCAGCUGCGCGAGCGCGAUGCGGCUGCUGCCGCUGCUGCUGCGGCGAGCGCACCAACGCCGGUUGUGCAGCCAGACGACUCGUGGAUGGAGGAGAGGGCACAGCUCCAGAAGGAGCUUGCCUACGCACAGGAACGCGUCCUGCAAGAGCAGGCGCGGAAUCAGAGGCUGAAAAGGCAAGUCUCCCAACUGGAGAAAGUAGCGUCUGCGUCGCCGAUUGCGCCAUCUGCGGCGGGCCCAUCCACCUGCACCCAUUGCGAGAAGACGCGCGCAGAUAUGAAGAAACAACUGUCGGACUACCAUGCCGCCAAGGCAGCGUGGAAGGCGGAGGAGCAGCGCCUGAAGGAAGAUAUUGCGUCCCUUCGACUUCAAGCGAAAGAGUCCGUCAAAGACGCUUCACUGCCGUCGGCGUCUCCGCCUGUCGGCGCAUUGGCAGGCUCACCUCAACGUGACCCAUCGUGGCCCGCCAGUGAACGCAAGAUUGGCCAGCUCGAGGCCAAAGUUGCCGCCAUGAAAGCAGACCUUCAGAUCAUGGAGAUGCGCUUGGCAAUCGUGCAGGAUGAGCGGGACGCUGAACGGCGCCGCAUCCUCGACGCACACGAGCGAGAGCGGCAGCGCCUGCGCGACGAGCGAGACGAGUGCCAGAGAAUCAUAGACAAAAUGUCCCGCGAGCUGCAGAGCCUCUCUCGGAUGAGCUACAGCGCGCCGCCGGCCAUCACAAGCACCGCCGGCUAACUGAACGCAAGUCGGAAAACAAGUGCAAGGCGCAUCUGAGUUGAGCCUCGGACGUGUAUGCCGAUCAUCGAAAGGCAAUGGCCGCAUUCUAUCCCUUCUGUUCCUUGCUGUUGUUUUUUUUUUCGCUUGUUUGUUAGCAUCAUCUUAUUUUUGAUUGCUGUUUGGCUACUUGCACCACUUGUACCGGUACGGGUGAUGUACGUCUGUGCUCCUGCGGCCAGCUGUCGCACAAACGCUCUCGCUCGCUCGCGUUUUUUCUCCCAUGUAUUCGCUCGUCCUUUCCCCAUUUUUUUUGUUUCUUCUUUUUUUUUGCGGAUCUGCUCAUGCGCGCAUGUUCCGCUGUGUUGGCGAGAGAAGAGAUUGAUGGCGCAAAACG